UACAGAGAGUGCAAACGUUGUUCGGAAUUACUGGGCUUGAAGCGCACGUAGGCGGCGUUGUAAGUGUCGGGUGAAAUCCCACGGCUCACCCGUGGAACUGCCCGGCAUACUGCGAUGCUAGAGUGUGGUAGGGGAGAGCGGAACUCCUGGUGGAGCGGUGAAAUGCGUAGAUAUCAGGAGGAACACCGGUGGCGAAGGCGGCUCUCUGGUCCACAACUGACGCUGAGGUGCGAAAGCGUGGGGAGCGAUCCGG
rnacentral:rRNA from 1 species